rnacentral:rRNA from 1 species
GCGAAACGGGUGAGUAACACGUGAGCAACCUGCCCCUGACUCUGGGAUAAGCGCUGGAAACGGCGUCUAAUACUGGAUAUGUGACGUGACCGCAUGGUCUGCGUCUGGAAAGAAUUUCGGUUGGGGAUGGGCUCGCGGCCUAUCAGCUUGUUGGUGAGGUAAUGGCUCACCAAGGCGUCGACGGGUAGCCGGCCUGAGAGGGUGACCGGCCACACUGGGACUGAGACACGGCCCAGACUCCUACGGGAGGCAGCAGUGGGGAAUAUUGCACAAUGGGCGCAAGCCUGAUGCAGCAACGCCGCGUGAGGGACGACGGCCUUCGGGUUGUAAACCUCUUUUAGCAGGGAAGAAGCGAAAGUGACGGUACCUGCAGAAAAAGCGCCGGCUAACUACGUGCCAGCAGCCGCGGUAAUACGUAGGGCGCAAGCGUUAUCCGGAAUUAUUGGGCGUAAAGAGCUCGUAGGCGGUUUGUCGCGUCUGCUGUGAAAUCCGGAGGCUCAACCUCCGGCCUGCAA